UCCCUGGUGGUCCAUUGGUUAGGACUCUGUGCUUUUACCACCGAGGACCCGGGUUCAAUCCCUGGCCAGGAAA